rnacentral:tRNA from 1 species
AGGCACAUGGCUGAAUAGUAAAGCACUUGGCUUCAGAACCAGGGGUCCAUGGUUCGAAUCCUGGGAUUUUUA